UACAGAAUAAGUUAAGUCAAGAUCAAAGUUAAUCUACAUUGAUGAAAAUAGACAUUAGUCAGACUUCGUGGGUCAUGGAUAAACGGUGUUGUUUUUCAAAGGAUUCGAGAAAAUGGGUAAAAUCGUUGGGGUCAAUAUGAGUUAAUACACGGAGGGUUAACUUAAAUGUAUAAACAUUAACAUAAACUAAGUUAAGUAUAUACAAACAAAAAAAUUAGAAUAGAGAAAUAUUCGACUGAUAAUGUGACAACACAAAUUAAACAAGAACGCCUUUAACGGUUAUAGCUAGAUCUUAGUGUUUAUAUUUAUUUGGGUGAUCCAGCUACAAUCGUUGAAGGCGAUUCUUGUUUAAAAAAAUUAAGUUAAGUAUAAA
rnacentral:lncRNA from 13 species